rnacentral:rRNA from 1 species
GAUGAACGCUGGCGGCGUGCCUAAUACAUGCAAGUCGAGCGAAUGGAUUAAGAGCUUGCUCUUAUGAAGUUAGCGGCGGACGGGUGAGUAACACGUGGGUAACCUGCCCAUAAGACUGGGAUAACUCCGGGAAACCGGGGCUAAUACCGGAUAACAUUUUGAACCGCAUGGUUCGAAAUUGAAAGGCGGCUUCGGCUGUCACUUAUGGAUGGACCCGCGUCGCAUUAGCUAGUUGGUGAGGUAACGGCUCACCAAGGCAACGAUGCGUAGCCGACCUUGGAGGGUGAUCGGCCACACUUGGACUGAGACACGGCCCAGACUCCUACGGGAGGCAGCAGUAGGGAAUCUUCCGCAAUGGACGAGAGUCUGACGGAGCAACGCCGCGUGAGUGAUGAGGGCUUUCGGGUCGUAAAACUCUGUUGUUAGGGAAGAACAAGUGCUAGUUGAAUAAGCUGGCACCUUGACGGUACCUAACCAGAAAGCCACGGCUAACUACGUGCCAGCAGCCGCAGUAA